CGCACGGGUGAGUAACACGUAUCCAACCUGCCGUCUACUCUUGGACAGCCUUCUGAAAGGAAGAUUAAUACAAGAUGGCAUCAUGAGUCCGCAUGUUCACAUGAUUAAAGGUAUUCCGGUAGACGAUGGGGAUGCGUUCCAUUAGAUAGUAGGCGGGGUAACGGCCCACCUAGUCUUCGAUGGAUAGGGGUUCUGAGAGGAAGGUCCCCCACAUUGGAACUGAGACACGGUCAA
rnacentral:rRNA from 1 species